UACGUAGGGUGCGAGCGUUAAUCGGAAUUACUGGGCGUAAAGCGCACGUAGGCGGAUUGUUAAGUGAGGGGUGAAAUCCCAGGGCUCAACCCUGGAACUGCCUUUCAUACUGGCAAUCUCGAGUCCGAGAGAGGUGAGUGGAAUUCCGAGUGUAGAGGUGAAAUUCGUAGAUAUUCGGAGGAACACCAGUGGCGAAGGCGGCUCACUGGCUCGGUACUGACGCUGGAGGUGCGAAAGCGUGGGGAGCAAACAGG
rnacentral:rRNA from 1 species